rnacentral:lncRNA from 1 species
CUGCAUGGCAAUCGCCACCAUCAAGGCCCGCUGUGGCUUUGUGGCUCCAACUUUCCCUGCCUCGUCGGCCACAAAGUUCUUGUUCUCUUGCAAUUCAGAAUAGUGAGUCACUUUCACAUAUCUCUCAUCGAAUCUUGGUGUGGCCGCCAAAUCCAGGGGUGGUAAUGAGAAUGGCUCGAUGACCCAGGCUGCUGUUGCCACGUCCCUGGUCAAGCCAUAGCGUUGCUUGCUGAAAGUAAGACGAGGGCGAGGCACGCCAAGCUUCUGCAGAAUGCCACACUCACCGGUAAGCGCGCACAAUGUAGCACACAAGCAGCACCAGCAGGAAGAAUCUCACUGGCCACCUUGGUCGGGUCCAGCAGCAAUAUUCUUUGCACAUGGCUUGCAAAGCUACAAGCAAUUGCGUGUGUACCAUACCAGGUUCACUGUCCUGCUGGGAUUACUGAGCUGGGCCCUUGUGCAGUUCUGCAUUGUAGGCGACCUGGUUCCCAUGGCUCCCUAUCCUGCGUGGCACAAAUUCACACAAAUUUAUUUUCCUAAUGCUAGAUCUGUAACAGGGAAUAGAGAGAACGUCCGCCGAUUUCGAGCAAGAGUGGAGAUCAGGGUUUUCGGGAUUCCGCAAUACUGUCUAUUUCGCUCUUUUACUCUGCUUCGAGUUGCCUUCCGUCUAAAUCUAUUAUGAAUUACUUUCGAAAUAUAAGAGCGCGAUUACGGAUUGUUUCUGUGUUAUUUUGAGUACCGAACUCUCAUGUAACCGUGAGUGAUCAAGCGGAUUUUCUGCGAUGAAACGUACAACAAGCUAUAAAACGCAUGGACAACGCAUGAUAGAUGAAAGAAACUGAAUUUUUGUCUGCCGGCAUUCGAGAAAGCUGUACUUAGCCAUUGGAAAGUGCUGCCGCAUGUUGCAGCGAGGCAUCAGCUUUCCACAGCCACCGCAGGCUACUCUGGCCUUCAGAAUCCUAGGUUGCGAAAGUAAUGACAAUGUUUCGCCUAAGAGCAUUCUUUAUAAUUGUGUAACUAAGUGCAGCGGUGAAAACUGUGAAGGUCGCUGAGUCGGUAAAGAUACAGCAGCAUACCUGAAUGGACCCGUCUUGUGUGCCGACUCAAGUGAUGGUUACUGCUCGCGCUGAUCUGAGUUCUGUUGCUGUUUUGUUCCGGCCCUCGCCUUGACUAUCCAAU